AUAUAUAUAUAUAUAUAUAUAUAUAUGCUGCUAUAUGCUGGUAGCUAGGAGCAGGAAGACCUGCCAUUGUCGUAGCGGUACGUUUGGUAACCGAACCCCAUGGAGGAGAACACAUGGUGCCUGAAACCCAGCAGCCAGCAGGAUCGCGCACGCGGACAGCUCCGGGCAGCCGUUGCACGCGCGCUGGCGCUGGCAGAAGGCGAGCGGCUGGAGGCCGGAUGGAGGCGCCCAGAGGCCUCAGGGACACAGGGCGAGGGAGAGGACACCAAGCACAAGCCAAAGCUGAGGGAGGCGGCGUCUGGCCGAAAGCUCCCACCAUCUCUUGUGAUUGUGAUUCUCGAGCUAAGUUACUAUCAUCUAAUUUCUGUCAUCACCCUCUCUGUUAUCGUCGAUAGAUGUGUGUCACUUCAUCAAACUUUCUUCAGUUUGAUCAUUAGUGUGUUUCAAUGUUCGAUAACAAGCGCGUUUGUUUA